CCUACGGGUGGCAGCAGUCGAGAAUCAUUCACAAUGGGGGAAACCCUGAUGGUGCGACGCCGCGUGGGGGAAUGAAGGUCUUCGGAUUGUAAACCCCUGUCAUGUGGGAGCAAAUUAAAAAGAUAGUACCACAAGAGGAAGAGACGGCUAACUCUGUGCCAGCGGCCGCGGUAAUACAGAGGUCUCAAGCGUUGUUCGGAAUCACUGGGCGUAAAGCGUGCGUAGGCUGUUUCGUAAGUCGUGUGUGAAAGGCGCGGGCUCAACCCGCGGACGGCACAUGAUACUGGGAAACUAGAGUGAUGGAGGGGGAACCGGAAUUCUCGGUGUAGCAGUGAAAUGCGUAGAUAUCGAGAGGAACACUCGUGGCGAAGGCGGGUUCCUGGACAUUAACUGACGCUGAGGCACGAAGGCCAGGGGAGCGAAAGGGAUUAGAUACCCGAGUAGUC
rnacentral:rRNA from 1 species